CACCCACAAAAGUGCCCAACGCGCCAUAAGAAGUUUUCACUUCAAAAAGGACAUUCUUCGAUUUUCAAAGCUACAGUCCAAUCCAAAAAAAUCCUCGCAACUAAAUGCCCUACAAGACGGAGCUAACUCAUACACCACUACACAUGCAAAUUAUUUCAGCUUUUACCAAUACAUACACAUUGCUAACAUUAUGUAGUUAAGUGGAAAUCUCGGUAGUUAGAGUAGCAAAAUUAAUUAACCCUAAUUUUUGUAUGUGUAAGAGAGAGAUACAAUGAACCGUUCAAAAAUCGCCGCCAUGGUCGCUGUCCAUUUCAAAAUAAAAUUUUUAGUGAAUGGAUUUAUACGUGUGUGCACAGCAAAGGAAGAGCAAGGAGGUGACGGUGGAAUUGGUGGAGGUUUUUGGAUUUAGCAUUGGUGCAAUAUAGUGCAGAAAACAAUGGAAAAUAACAUGAUAUUGACUGACAGGUCCUUCUCCACCUGGUCCUUCCAUCGGAGUGGAGGUCUCCCUCUUCCUCGGCUUCCACCAGCGGGUACUGCAUCGAAAACUUUCAGAGCUGGGGCACUUUCGUCCAUUCGAACAACAUGACCCAGCCAGCGUAGCCUAUGUCGUCGAACAACAUAUACAGCUCAUCAUUUCAUCUUUUGCGAUAUUAGCCGUUGCCAAUGUUUAAGGGACCAUAAAUCUUCCGCAAAAACUUUCUCUCGAAAGCUCCUAGUGCCGUCUCAUCGUAUGUUGACACCGUCCACGCUUCUGCACCGUACAGUAGGACGGGAAUGAUGAGGGACUUGUAGAGUUUAGUUUUUGCUCAUCGAGAGAAGACUUUACUUUUCAAUUGCCUACUCAGACCAUAAACACAAAUACUUUGCACAAAUGGAGGAUUCAAUAGCUACAACUUUUCUUAUGUUUGUACUACGAAUACAAAUAUAUUCAUAUUUUCUAAUUGUUAAUAACAAUUUCUAUUUCUAAUAUUUUUCCGGCAUGAUAAACAAGACAACAACAAAUCCCAUCGGACAUUUAGAUUAGCAGUUGCACAACCUCUUUCCGACGAGCUGAACCUUUUUAUGAUGUACAUAUGGGAUAGGAUUGUGUGGAAUUGACAUCAAACAAUAUUGGUUCACUAGUUUCGUUGGAUCCUUACAGGAUAGUUAUAAGGAAAUCGUUCGCGUUUAGUAUUAAUUUAUUCAUUUGCUAAUUCAUAAUUUAGAUGUAAAAUAUUAUUAAAUUAUACAAAUGAAUGUUCGAAUACUAAUAACAUUCGUAAUAGUAAUGGAAUUUUAUUUGAACAACAACUACAAAAAAUAAAAAUGUAAUAAUGAAUACUAAAUUUUUAUAUGAAAUAUGUAAAAAGUAAAAAUUAAAUAAUUAAUACUAACUUUAUUUAUAAAAUAUGUAAAUUUUGUCAAUGUAUAAAUAUAAAUGUAU